AGGAUGAACGCUGGCGGCGUGCCUAACACAUGCAAGUCGAACGUCCUGUCUCGCAAGAGGCAGGGAGUGGCGGACGGGUGAGUACCACGUGGGUCAUCUACCGUGAGGUGAGGAAUACCGGCGAGAAAUCGCCGACAAGACCGCAUAGGCUCGAUGCAAGUCGAGCAAAGCUCUUUCGAGAGAGGGAGCGCCACACGAGGAGCCUGCGCCCGAUUAGCUAGCUGGUGGAGUAACGGUUCACCAGGGCGACGAUCGGUAGCUGGUCUGAGAGGACGAUCAGCCACACUGGGAUUGAGAACGGCCCAGACUCCUACGGGGGGCAGCAGUGAGGAAUUUUCGUCAAUGGGGGCAACCCUGAACGAGCAACGCCGCGUGCAGGAAGAAGGUUUCGGAUCGUAAACUGCUUUUCUCGGGAAGAGAACGGACGGUACCCGAGGAAUCGAGCCCGGCUAACUACGCGCCAGCAGCCGCGGU
rnacentral:rRNA from 1 species